GCGCCAGCGUCCAUAGGAAAGCAUUGUAAAUGCUUUCCUAUGAGACCGGCUGAAUGCGCGCGCAGCUCUUGCCGCGCGUGCGCAUUCAGCCGGCGGGGCGUAACGGAGGCGGAGAGCUCUCCGCCCAGCGCUGGAAAAAGGUAAGUUUUUACCCCUUUCCCCCCUCCAGAGCCGGGCGGGAGGGGGUCCCUGAGGGUGGGGGCA